rnacentral:rRNA from 1 species
UACGGGGGGGGCAAGCGUUGUUCGGAAUUACUGGGCGUAAAGGGCUCGUAGGCGGCCAACUAAGUCGGAUGUGAAAUCCCCAGGCUUAACCUGGGAACUGCAUCCGAUACUGGAUGGCUUGAGUCCGGGAGAGGGAUGCAGAAUUCCAGGUGUAGCGGUGAAAUGCGUAGAUAUCUAGAGGAAUACCGGUGGCGAAGGCGGCAUCCUGGACCGGCAUUGACGCUGAGGAGCGAAAGCGUGGGGAGCGAACAGG